rnacentral:rRNA from 1 species
UACAGAGGGGGCAAGCGUUGUUCGGAAUUACUGGGCGUAAAGGGCGCGUAGGCGGCCAACUAAGUCAGACGUGAAAUCCCUCGGCUUAACCGGGGAACUGCGUCUGAUACUGGAUGGCUUGAGGUUGGGAGAGGGAUGCGGAAUUCCAGGUGUAGCGGUGAAAUGCGUAGAUAUCUGGAGGAACACCGGUGGCGAAGGCGGCAUCCUGGACCAAUUCUGACACUGAGGAGCGAAAGCCAGGGGAGCAAACGGG